ACUGACAUAUUGUCAGAAUUUAAUUGUUGUUCCCCCACACCCCACAUUUAUAUAUUUGAUAUAUUUUCAUAGAACCUUGUAUAUUUCUUUAUUGUUAUACUCGGAUGAUUAAUGAAGCAAUGAUACGGUUCAUUUAUCUUGCAUUUACUAAGUUGAGAUUGAGUUGUGACAUUUUCCCUUGACUAUGCACAAAAGCUAGACAUGGGCUGGUCAGUCCAGGUCAUGAAGUACGACCAGACUUCCCUGUUCUAAUCUCCCUUUCCCCGUUUACACAAUACAACUGUCUAAGCAUUAUUAUUUAUGUAUCCGUAUCCAGACGUUCCUGUGAAGGGACCAAUCAUGUGAUUGUUCUCCAGACAUGUUUGCUCAAUAACUGCCCACAUGAUUCUUCUAGACAUUAUCAAAUGUUUAUCAGGUGACCAGUGCUUCCUUUCUGUACACUAUAUAAGCUGAAGCCUGUCUAAUAAACUUUGGUCUAUGUUUGAACUGCAUCUCGGUGUCAGUGUCUUUCAUGGCCCCUGAUAUAUAUCAGAACUCUCUGCUGCUCACCUCAGACCUCGUCUCUUUACUACAGAUUCAACGAAAACUUCAUACCUCUAGACCUGCUUAGAAUUAGAUUCUAACAGUUGGGGGCUCGUCCGGGAUAGGGGGGUGAGCCUCCUCCCGACAGAACCGGAGACCGAAAUUUGAACACCGCAGAUCGGGGAGGACCUACAGAAAGGGGUAAGUGUCGUGAUAUUUCUAAUAAAUUUGAAAUACAGCGCUUACCCCUGUAGAGUCCCAGUAGGACCCAUAUCUUGUGCUCGAGACAAGAUCGGUCAUUUUCACUCGGCCCACGUGGGGCAGGUGGCCCAAAAAUCGCCACCGUUGGCUAAUUGAUUUACGAAUUAAUUGCUAGUAACGAAGUGAUAGUCGCUCACGAGUAAAAGAAAGAAAGAAAUUGACAACGAGUGAUUUCUUGUCAAUUAAAUUUCACGGGUGCGGUAAUCGAGAUUACCAGCACAUGCAGCAUUGACUGCGUACGGAGCGAGGUCAAGUAUACAGUUAGAGCUCGCUGUAUAUUUGAGAUCGCGGUGUUAUUGUUAUUCGUUAUUGUUGAGUAAUCAUCAACGAAACGUUGAAUUGAAUAUAAAACGAGCAUUGCCCACUAUCAAAGAAAUUUAUUAAAACUAUAUGAAUAACAUUUAUGACAUUUUAUGAAAACUGGAUUUUUGCAAAUUUCAAAUAAUUUGCCAAACUAAUAUAUAACUUCUAAAGAACGAAACGAUACGUAAAUGUAUUGAGGCUGAGUAGAGGAGCACAGAAAACCCGGGUGUUUGUCAAUUGCUUAUUUGUGCUUAUUGCUGUUUGCAUGUUAUUGCUGCUAUUAUUUGUUUACAUUGUGUUGAAGAUGGGUGAUUCUGCCACGGCCAGGCAAAAGCCUGAUGAAUUUAUGUAUACAAAUAAUAAAGGUUUUUAUGUUGAACUGUACGUCACUUAGCGGUUAGUAAUAUAAUAACUUUGCAUUGAAAACCCCCAACGCAAGAUGCGCUGCCAUAUUUUAUGUCGAAUAGUACCAGCCGAAGUUUAUCGUCCCCACAAAUUGCUGUAAAAUACGUGAAUGUUUUGCAAUCUCACAAGAGGUAUGCACACGUCACAGGGGCAGAUUUGUGCUAUUUUGUUGAAAAUUGGAGAGCGAUGUAAAAAAAAAAAAAAAAAAAAACAUAACUGAUACGUGCCGCUGUCUGAUUCGGGAAAACCAUGUGACUGGAGGUGAGGGGACUGCAGCCUCUCGCAAUCCACUCACACGGGAAGAUCAUGAAUAUCAUGAUAUGCUUUUUUGAUCAGCUGCUCGUUUUUCUAGAUAAACGAUUUGGCAUUUGCCAGUAUUUAUCAUUUGCAUUAAACGGAAAGAUAAAGCCAAAUGAAACUGCUUCUGAAUUUUGCACAGGUUUUAAAGUAUUAUGAGUUUAUUCUAGAUUACCGAUUGACAAAGUCUGAGUGCGCUGUUACAAAUAUGCUGUUGAACAAUAUGAAUCGUAGGUACCGGUAAGUGAAAUCUGUUGAAUAUGAAUGUGAAUAGACUGAUUUGUGAGUCUGAUGCAUCUGGUGAACAUGCUAUGUUUUCAGUGCAAGUCUCAUCGAACGGGAAAAAGCUUGCUUAAGCACCGGAAAGGAAACUGAGAUUUGAUAUAAUGUGUUAUUAUGUGGACAAAGGGGCCACAUGAAAUGUGACUGUCGUUCAAAAGGGGGUGCAAUUUUAUUCCAAGGGCGCCACCACGUAGACAGUCAAUGCAACAGCCAAAGCAAGUGCAUCAGAAACUAUCUGACAGUAAUUACCAGACAAACUGGCAUAACAAAACACAAUGAAAUGUUCUGACCCAUUACACCACCUCUGGAGACAUACAGUGAUCCUCUGCCUAUGGGGGGAGGAAGUGAGAAGGCCGACCAAGACCCAGUAGCCGCCCGCAUACCACAUGAUGUAGACACCUUGAUUAACCCAUGCCUAUGAACUCAGUCAAACAAUGAUACAGGUUUCAUUGAUAUGAAACCAUACAAAGUUAAACUUAAACCUGUGUACAUCAAACAAUAUCCUUUGUCAAAAGAAAAGGAAGAUGGCAUUAAACCUAUUAUUCACCAUUUUGUUUAACAGGGUGUCCUCAUACCUACUCGCCAUAAAACACACCGAUUAACCCGGUGGUGAAUGCUGAUGGAAAGACAUAAUGUCUUACACAAGAUUUAAGAGCACUCAAUAAACUGAUAAUUCCUCUGUCUCUGAUUGUUCCAGAUGUGCCGACUGUUAUAAAUUUUAUAUCAUGCACACAUAAGUAUUUCUGUCAUUGAUUUGUGUGCUGCUUUUGUUUCUCUGUUCCAGUGCAUCCAGACACACAGCCACUGCUAGCCUUAUAGGAUAGGGGGCGCAAGAA